AGUCUUUUCAGUGGCUACAACUGAUGAUCGCGACAUUAGCAAUUCAUGUUGUAAAUCCAGAUGCCCAUGCACCUCGUCAGCAGGCCUGGUGAGAACUAUGGUCUUCACCAAACCUGCACACAGCAGCUGCUCAGCCGAGCCGCUGCCUUCACUCACGCACGGAGGGUAUCCACACGCCUUCAAGUCAACAUGAUGCUUUCCGUGGCUCGUUACAAACGAUCUGAGAUAUAUGAAGUAAGUUUCUACCAGAGCCAAAUGUUAUCGACUCCUCACUGAAGUCGUCCACCAGUCCAACCACUGGAAUCCAGCUGCUGCUCUCUAACUGAUCCACACAGCAGCUCAGACCUGACACAUUCACUGUAAACACACUGGUUUAUAUUCUGUUUGUUCUCCUCAUGAAGGAAACCUCAGAAGGUCUGAAAUGUGAGUGUGUGUCUUCCCCUCACUGGUUGUUUCUGUCUGAUGGAAACAUGAAUUCUUGUGGCUAACAAACACACCUGUCUGAGAUAACAAAGAACAAACAUGAGUCGACUUCAGCCACAAAGUAAAAGCUGCAGGAACAUUUGGUCAGUUUUUCUCUCAGGAGUCAUAAAGAGAACAUCUGUAACAUCUGUUACUCGGACGAUCGUUGUCAGAAAGUCAAUAACUGUGAUGGCUGCAGUCACAGCCACAGAGUGGUAAUAUCCACCAAAUUUUAGUCUAAAGGCUUACACAACACCAAACUCGCAUUAUUUGUUUCUUUAAAGGUCCUGCAUCAGUGUUUCCCAAACACGACACAUGUUUAACAUUAAAAAAACACCACCAAACCAAAAAGUCACAAUAAGUGUAUUGAUAAUUUUCCCCGUGCACCAGGCAUAGCGGACUUGGCUCAGUUUUUCCUCAGUAUACCUUUUUUGCUUUCUUCUGACCACUAAUCCUGCUAGUGCCUGGGUCAGAAUUCUCUCCAGGACCCAGGUCAGACUGACUACUUUUUCUUUUCAGAUACUUAUCUAUACGCGCCACGUUAUCUCACUCACAGCAUGACUUUUAUGUAGCAGCUGUAUUACUCACCCCGGCUCCUUAGAGUCCUAAUCAGGUGGAACCAGUCUUCAUAAGAGAAUGAAUCACUGUUUAUGUGAUGUCACUGUGAGAUACAAUGAUUUAAAAUCUGAAUAUUAACACAUCAAUGUGAAAAUGUAAACAGUGUACAGAUAUAAAUAUUUAUGGCUGAUUUGUCACAUGGAUUCAUAUCUUAUGAAUUUAUAUUUAUCACUUAUUUUAACAGGUACCAGAUGUGGUUUGUAAAAUGAUGGACAUUCUUUUACUCUAUUAAUAAACUGCCUUCAUGUACA